GACGUGGUCAGGACCUGUAAUAAUAUUACUGCAUUGCAAACAGUGAUUGAAAACAUCGAAAAGUUACUGUGUGUUGUUGUUAUUAUUAUUAAAGUAACGUAAUUAAUAACGCGUAACAGAUAAAAACGACAAUAUAUUUACAUUACAUGCAAGAAAUGUGUUAUUGCCGUUUAAAUCACAGCUCCAGGCUGGCAGUAAAGAAAUAAACGAUUUUGAAUCGUGAUGCAUUAAUAGGCUACGUCUUAAGUCCCUUGGUCUGCCCCACAUUACUCCGGUCUAAUUAAUAACCAGUACAUCACUGUUAAGUAAAAUUGGACCCAGGGUUAUCCUGAUUUCCAUAUGCAGAUCUAUCUCCGCCGGCUGCAGCUCUGGCCAUCACCAUGCAUACAUUUAAAAGCAUCUUUUUCAGUCCCGCAUCUGAAAGCAGAUAUCUCGAUUUGAUAAUCUUUUAUGGUCUUACCGGCUAGAUUUAUAUGCGGAGGUAACGGCAUUUUAAAACAUAUAUCGUUCGACUUGCGAUUUUAGCUGUCACAUCUACGACAAAAGACGAACUGAUGUCGUUUUGUAGCCUCUUUGUUUUAUCCAAAUUAUGGUUGCGUCUUGCAGUAGGCUACAGCUCAGCGCGCGCACGGACAGAAGGGCAUGGAUUGGAGAGGCCCGCUGCGCUGCUGCUGUGGCUGCCCACACACUGCUGCAGUUGCACUGUUUAGCCGCCGGAGGGCAGCGCGGGACCGGGACCCAGUGGCAGUGGAGGGAGGGACGGCGGUCGAGAGAUCGCUGGCCGUGCAACACGAACUACAGUUCAUCUCACGGAGGGCAAUGAUUACUCACGUAGCUCUGCGGCGAGCUUCCAUUCUCUGUGCAGACCAGAACGUGCCUGUAUCACUCUAGCAGUGCCUCGCUUUCCCUCUGCUGUUGCCAGCGUGGUUCUGCGUGAGAGACAGAGGAGAAAAACAGAGUGACGUGGAGAGAAAGAUGGAGAAACAGUUAAAGAGGUGAGUGGGGAUGUGAAUCUCUUGAUGAGGAGAUACCUUGUCCAUACACACCAACACAAACUGUGCUGAGGUAAUGUUAUGGUAAUGUUAUGCUAAUGAUAUGCUAAUUCAGCAGCAGUAUUCCAUAUCAGGAGUGUGAGAGGAUUUCAGUGAGGUCCUUCACCAGUGGGUGGAAAGGAAAGACCUCCUGAUCUCACUAAACACACACACACUUACAUAUUCACCAAAAUUAUACACUCGCACACAAUUUUUUUCCAUCUGAUUGUAGAGUUUGGUGAGUCUAGGCAGAAAGAGAAAGAGUUCAAGAGAAUACUACAAUUUGGC
ensembl:lncRNA